AGCAGACAAGAUGUUUAUCUUACUCAAGAAUUACUGCCUAGAAGUCUUAGCAGGUGAAAAAUUCUCUUAUUCCUCUACACAAAGGAAGUAAUAUCAGGUUUGCCAUAGUCUAAUAUGACAUAAACCAUCUACAUAUUGUCUAAAUAGGCAAGAUGUUCACAAAGGAAGAGACAGCAUGCAAUCACAUGGCCAUUUAGAUUUGAUCAAGAAGUGAAUGUGGUGUUUUAAGUCUGAAUAUAAAUGCUUUCAUUUUCAAAACAACAAACCACAAGUAAUUCAUUUGCUGAGAAGUGCUAAUUUCCUCUUUUCUUUUUUCUUCCAUUUACCAGAUAUUUGAAGUGGACAAAUGAAAAAGGGAUCCCAGAAAUAAACACAGGAGAGUAUUGCUUAAAACCCUGGGAGAGUCACCCUACCAACCUACAGACCCAGCUGUGGUCAUAUGGAAAACCAACCCAACAAUUAAUAGCCACUUGCCUUUUCUGCCACCUUGUAUCUGAAAUAAAGCCUUUGAACAGUAGGAUCAGAAUGAAGGAAAAAGAAAGGAGAAAUGAACAAGGUGAGCUUACAAGAUGAAGAAUCUUCUUUACAUUUCAGACUGUUUUCUCAAAUAGGAAUACAGAUGGAUGUCUGCAUCUUUCCUCUUUUUUUGCGCUCUGCAGCUCAGACCAACACUGUACACCUGAUGUGUUCCUGCAAUCAAGCAACAGUUAAAAGAAACUUCUCAGCUGACCAGAAUUAUGUUGUUUGUGUACAUCAACCCCUCACAUCAGAUGUCAAAAGAAAAAUUACUUUAACCCAUUUGCUGAACAUUCAAGACAAAAGCUGGGCCUCACACCAAGAAAGAAAUACAAGAGAAGCUGAAGACAUGCACUGAUUUCCUCAGCUACACAGAGGUGAGCAGCUGCACAGGGACACUGUGUUUGUC
rnacentral:lncRNA from 1 species